GUACUUUUCUGCCAUUACAGCACCUAUGGUGAUCGUAACGGAACCAAGCAUGAUAAGAAAGCGUCUAAAAGGUCCUUAACUAGUCUUCUGAAAAAUACCAAAAUGGGCAGGCCAAAACAUUGAUGAGUUCAAUCCAACAAAUGUUUCCAACAACAAUCAAACUACAAGAGCAUAUCACAAGCUAAUGAUAGUUUUAAUUUAAAUAGGAUCAGCUUACAGACAGUAAUUAAAGUUCUUGGCAAAGGGAUCAUGUAAAAAAGUAUAACAUUAGGUAAUCGUAGCCUUUAACACCAUCACAAGAUCAGUUAGGGUUUUAUGAGAUUGUUUUCUACAAAAAUAAAUAAAUAAAUAAUAAAAAAAAAAAAAAAAA
rnacentral:misc_RNA from 1 species